rnacentral:rRNA from 1 species
UAGGUAAUCUUCCGCAAUGGGCGAAAGCUUGACGGAGCAACGCCGCGUGAGUGAUGAAGGUCUUCGGAUCGUAAAACUCUGUUAUUAGGGAAGAACAAAUGUGUAAGUAACUAUGCACGUCUUGACGGUACCUAAUCAGAAAGCCACGGCUAACUACGUGCCAGCAGCCGCGGUAAUACGUAGGUGGCAAGCGUUAUCCGGAAUUAUUGGGCGUAAAGCGCGCGUAGGCGGUUUUUUAAGUCUGAUGUGAAAGCCCACGGCUCAACCGUGGAGGGUCAUUGGAAACUGGAAAACUUGAGUGCAGAAGAGGAAAGUGGAAUUCCAUGUGUAGCGGUGAAAUGCGCAGAGAUAUGGAGGAACACCAGUGGCGAAGGCGACUUUCUGGUCUGUAACUGACGCUGAUGUGCGAAAGCGUGGGGAUCAAACAGG